AAAAAAAAAAAAAAAAAGAGUAACUCUUAUGUGAAGCUAAACAAAUUAGCCAUCAACAGUGCCUCAUGACCAAAAAGACAAUAAUAACAAGCACUUCACGCCAAAUUAGAUGAUGGAUAGCUCCUCAAUCAUCAAUCAGUCAUCACAACGGUCAUAUCCCCAAACUCCCAAAAUAAUAUGGAAAGGGAUCAACUGCAAAUUACUUACAAAAGCACAGGACAAUCAAAAUCCUGAAAAGAGUACUAUUGAAAAUGACAACAGAUAUAAAACAUGCAAAUCAAUCCAGAUUAAUAAAAUAAACUACCUUCAUAGUCAAACGACCAAGCAAACUAAACCUAAAUCCCAAAAUGACAAACUGGUCAAGCAAAGCUGAGCAUGGCAAAUUUAUAUGCG
rnacentral:misc_RNA from 1 species